GACGAACGCUGGCGGCGUGCUUAACACAUGCAAGUCGAACGGAGUGGCGAACGGGUGAGUAACACGUGGGUGACCUGCCCUGCACUUCGGGAUAAGCCUGGGAAACUGGGUCUAAUACCGGAUAGUGUGGGAUGGGCCCGGGGCCUAUCAGCUUGUUGGUGGGGUAAUGGCCUACCAAGGCGGCGACGGGUAGCCGGCCUGAGAGGGUGGACGGCCACAUGGGGACUGAGACACGGCCCAGACGGCGACGGGGGGCAGCAGUGGGGAGUAUUGCACAAGGGGCGGAAGCCUGAUGCAGAGACGCCGCGGGGGGGAUGAAGGCCUUCGGGUUGGAAACUCCUUUAACCAUCGACGCGGUAGAUGGAGAAGAAGCACCGGCUAACUACGUGCCAGCAGCCGCGGUAAUUC
rnacentral:rRNA from 1 species